rnacentral:rRNA from 1 species
AGAGUUUGAUCAUGGCUCAGAACGAACGCUGGCGGCAGGCCUAACACAUGCAAGUCGAACGAUGUAGCAAUACAUAGUGGCGCACGGGUGAGUAACGCGUGGGAAUGUACCAUUUAGUGGGGAAUAACUUCGGGAAACUGAAGCUAAUACCGCAUACGCCCUUCGGGGGAAAGAUUUAUCGCUAAAUGAUCAGCCCGCGUGAGAUUAGGUAGUUGGUGGGGUAAUGGCCUACCAAGCCUACGAUCUCUAGCUGGUCUUAGAGGAUGACCAGCCACACUGGAACUGGGACACGGUCCAGACUCCUACGGGAGGCAGCAGUGGGGAAUAUUGGGCAAUGGACGCAAGUCUGACCCAGCCAUGCCGCGUGAAUGAUGAAGGCUUUAGGGUUGUAAAGUUCUUUCGCCGAUGAAGAUAAUGACGGUAGUCGGAGAAGAAGCCCCGGCUAACUUCGUGCCAGCAGCCGCGGUAAU